AGUGAGCGCUGGCGGUAGGCCUAACACAUGCAAGUCGAACGGCAGCACAGUAAGAGCUUGCUCUUACGGGUGGCGAGUGGCGGACGGGUGAGGAAUACAUCGGAAUCUACUUUUUCGUGGGGGAUAACGUAGGGAAACUUACGCUAAUACCGCAUACAACCUACGGGUGAAAGCAGGGGAUCUUCGGACCUUGCGCGAUUGAAUGAGCCGAUGUCGGAUUAGCUAGUUGGCGGGGUAAAGGCCCACCAAGGCGACGAUCCGUAGCUGGUCUGAGAGGAUGAUCAGCCACACUGGAACUGAGACACGGUCCAGACUCCUACGGGAGGCAGCAGUGGGGAAUAUUGGACAAUGGGCGCAAGCCUGAUCCAGCCAUACCGCGUGGGUGAAGAAGGCCUUCGGGUUGUAAAGCCCUUUUGUUGGGAAAGAAAAGCAGCAGGUUAAUACCCCGCUGUUCUGACGGUACCCAAAGAAUAAGCACCGGCUAACUUCGUG
rnacentral:rRNA from 1 species